rnacentral:rRNA from 1 species
UACGGGGGGGGCAAGCGUUGUUCGGAAUUACUGGGCGUAAAGGGCUCGUAGGCGGCCAACUAAGUCAGACGUGAAAUCCCCAGGCUUAACCUGGGAACUGCGUCUGAUACUGGAUGGCUUGAGAUUGGGAGAGGGAUGCGGAAUUCCAGGUGUAGCGGUGAAAUGCGUAGAUAUCGGGAGGAACACCGGUGGCGAAGGCGGUUCUCUGGGCCUUACCUGACGCUGAGGAGCGAAAGCGUGGGGAGCGAACAGG